rnacentral:rRNA from 1 species
GUCGAGCGAACAGACGAGGAGCUUGCUCCUCUGACGUUAGCGGCGGACGGGUGAGUAACACGUGGAUAACCUACCUAUAAGACUGGGAUAACUUCGGGAAACCGGAGCUAAUACCGGAUAAUAUAUUGAACCGCAUGGUUCAAUAGUGAAAGACGGUUUUGCUGUCACUUAUAGAUGGAUCCGCGCCGCAUUAGCUAGUUGGUAAGGUAACGGCUUACCAAGGCGACGAUGCGUAGCCGACCUGAGAGGGUGAUCGGCCACACUGGAACUGAGACACGGUCCAGACUCCUACGGGAGGCAGCAGUAGGGAAUCUUCCGCAAUGGGCGAAAGCCUGACGGAGCAACGCCGCGUGAGCGAUGAAGGUCUUCGGAUCGUAAAACUCUGUUAUUAGGGAAGAACAAAUGUGUAAGUAACUAUGCACGUCUUGACGGUACCUAAUCAGAAAGCCACGGCUAACUACGUGCCAGCAGCCGCGGUAAUACGUAGGUGGCAAGCGUUAUCCGGAAUUAUUGGGCGUAAAGCGCGCGUAGGCGGUUUUUUAAGUCUGAUGUGAAAGCCCACGGCUCAACCGUGGAGGGUCAUUGGAAACUGGAAAACUUGAGUGCAGAAGAGGAAAGUGGAAUUCCAUGUGUAGCGGUGAAAUGCGCAGAGAUAUGGAGGAACACCAGUGGCGAAGGCGACUUUCUGGUCUGUAACUGACGCUGAUGUGCGAAAGC